GUUCGGGUAGCUCAGUGGUAGAGCGGCAGAUUGCAAUGUGAUCAUCUGAAGGUCGCGGGAUCAACCCCCGCCCUGAACU